UACGUAGGGACCAAGCGUUGUUCGGAUUUACUGGGCGUAAAGGGCGCGUAGGCGGCAUGACAAGUCACUUGUGAAAUCUCUGGGCUUAACUCAGAACGGCCAAGUGAUACUGUCGCGCUAGAGUGCAGAAAGGGCAAUCGGAAUUCUUGGUGUAGCGGUGAAAUGCGUAGAUAUCAAGAGGAACACCGGAGGCGAAGGCGGGUUGCUAGGCUGACACUGACGCUGAUGCGCGAAAGCCAGGGGAGCAAACGGG
rnacentral:rRNA from 1 species